rnacentral:rRNA from 1 species
UCCUGGCUUAGGACGAACGCUGGCGGCGUGCUUAACACAUGCAAGUCGAACGGAGAUUCAGCAAUGGAUCUAGUGGCGAACGGGUGAGUAACGCGUAGGCAAUCUGCCUUCUAGAUGGGGACAACAUCCCGAAAGGGGUGCUAAUACCGAAUGUUGUAACGACUUCGCAUGAAGUUGCUACUAAAGGUGGCCUCUGAAUAUGCUACCGCUAGAAGAUGAGCCUGCGUCUGAUUAGCUAGUUGGAGGGUAACGGCCCACCAAGGCUUCGAUCAGUAGCCGGUCUGAGAGGAUGAACGGCCACACUGGGACUGAGACACGGCCCAGACUCCUACGGGAGGCAGCAGUGGGGAAUCUUCCGCAAUGGACGAAAGUCUGACGGAGCAACGCCGCGUUGAGUGAAGAAGGUUUUCGGAUCGUAAAGCUCUUUCGUUAGGGACGAACGUGCUCUUUGUGAAUAAUGAGGAGUAAUGACGGUACCUAAAUAAGAAGCCACGGCUAACUACGUGCCAGCCGCCGC